GGUUCUAUGGUGUAAUGGUUAGCACUCUGGACUUUGAAUCCAGCGAUCAGAGUUCAAAUCUCGGUAGGACCU
rnacentral:tRNA from 1 species